rnacentral:misc_RNA from 1 species
GAACGCACAUUGCGCCCCUUGGUAUUCCGGGGGGCAUGCCUGUUCGAGCGUCAUUUCAACCCUCAAGCACUGCUUGGUAUUGAGCCCUAUGUCAGAAAUGGCAGGCUCUAAAAUCAGUGGCGGCGCCGCUGGGUCCUGAACGUAGUAAUAUCUCUCGUUACAGGCUCUCAGUGUGCUUCUGCCAAAACCCCAAAUUUUUUUAUGGUUGACCUCGGAUCAGGUAGGGAUACCCGCUGAACUUAAG